GGAGAGUUGGCUGAGCGGUCAAAAGCAGCAGACUGUAAAUCUGCCGGGCCACGCCCUACGGAGGUUCGAAUCCUCCACUCUCCACCA
rnacentral:tRNA from 2 species